rnacentral:rRNA from 1 species
AGCAGCCGCGGUAAUUCCAGCUCCAAUAGCGUAUAUUAAAGUUGUUGCAGUUAAAAGCUCGUAGUUGAAUUUCGGGAUUCUACCGUUGGUCAGGCUAUUGUCUGUACUGGCGUGUAGAAUUUCUACCUUCUGGGGAACUAUCAUGUUAUUAAUUUAGCGUGGUAGGAAACCAGAACCUUUACCUUGAAAAAUUAGAGUGUUCAAAGCAGGCUUAUGUCUGAAUACAUUAGCAUGGAAUAAUAAAAUAGGACGGUGGUCCUGUUUUGUUGGUUUCUGAAUCACCGUAAUGAUUAAUAGGGAUAGUUGGGGCAUUAGUAUUCAAUUGUCAGAGGUGAAAUUCUUGGAUUUAUUGAAGACUAACUACUGCGAAAGCAUUUGCCAAGGAUGUUUUCAUUAAUCAAGAACGAAAGUUAGGGAUCGAAGACGAUCAGAUACCGUCGUAGUCUUAACCAUAAACUAUGCCGACUAGGGAUCGGACGAUGUUAACUUUUCUUGUACUCGUUCGGCGCCGUUACGGGAA